rnacentral:rRNA from 1 species
GAUUAACGCUGGCGGCGUGCCUAAUACAUGCAAGUCGAACGAUGAAACUAAGUAGAUUUCUUCGGAAAGAUAUCAAGCGGAUUAGUGGCGAACGGGUGAGUAACGCGCGAGUAACCUGCCUUAAACAAGGGGAUAGCCUUUGGAAACGAAGAAUAAUAUUCUAUAAAACCAUAAAAGAACAUGAUAGAAUGGUCAAAGUGAUAGUAGUGUAAGAUGGACUUACGUCUGAUUAGCUAGUUGGUGAGAUAAAAGCUCACCAAGGUAACGAUCAGUAGCCGGCUUGAGAGAGUGUACGACCACAUUGCGACUGAGACACGUCCCAGACUCCCACGGGAGGCAGCAGUGGUGAAUGUUGCACAAUGGGUGAGACCCGGAGGCAUCGACGCCGCGUGAUUUAGAAAGCCUGCAAGUUGUAAUAAGCAUUUGUAUAGGAAGAAAUUGACAGUACUAUACGAGUAAGGUCCGGCUAAGUACGUG